rnacentral:sRNA from 2 species
UUACAUUCAUCAGAUGUUAAAAACUACGUGGGCUGCCGACAGUUGAAUCCAGGGGCCUCGGGAUAUCCAUAAAUACUAUCGUAUACGCUGCAUAUGAUCAAAAAUGGCUAUUCAAUAACGACAAAUCAACCCCUCUUACAAGAUGGGGCUAUAUUCCAUUUUCUGAAAUGGCCCGAGGUUCAGAGAAUCUUUGACUAGCGAGGGGUAUUUAACUUGCAAAUGAAGGGAUUUCUAGCUCCGGAUAAUGGAAUGCUGAUCCUACACCAGACGAAGCACGAUGGUAAAUAAAACAAGCGACAUUGGUCACAAGUAGGAAGCAAGACAAUUUCCAUUGAAUCCUCUGACAUCUUCCAGGAAUGCCACCCGUAAUUCCCCAUAUUUUUCCAAGCAGACUGGCUGUUCGCUAAUUCGUUAUUUAGCUUACUGGCUGCCCCUCGAAUUUCGUGGCUGCUUGCUGGGAAAUAUCAGUAUAUAUGCAAAUUACACGUGAGCAGUGAUAUCUGGUGAUAGCAAACAGACUAGGAUAGAAUAGUUUGCGAUAGAAUAGUUUGCAGCUUUUGAAUGUCUAUGGACUGGGAAUGUUUAUUGUAGAUCUGUACGUGUAACUACGGAGCUGUUGUGCACUUUAAUUGCUAGAAAGCUCCAACGCCAGCAGCUCGACAAAUCAGUGUGGUUUCCCCAUUGUGCUACGUUCUCCAACCCAGAGACAUCUUGCUCGCCCAUAGCUGAAGCAUUCAGAAUUGAAGAAGGGCUGAUCCCACACUGGUAGCUAGUUUUCAGGCCAUGCUUGGGUAUGCCAGCCAUGUUGCAUCGCUUUGAUAAAAAAAAAAAUACGUCGGGAGAUUCACAUAAACGGAAAUCUAUACAAACCCCAUCC